rnacentral:miRNA from 1 species
AGUACGAUAACUGGAUGAAAUGGUGGUUCCAUUCCAAGUUUUCUAAGGAGUGUCCAUACUGCUUUCCAGAGUGGUUGCACCAAUUUGCAGUUCCAAUAGCAAU